AUACGGAGGGAGCAAGCGUUAUUCGGAAUCACUGGGCGUAAAGGACGCGUAGGCGGGUUUGUAAGUCAGGUGUGAAAUCCUACAGCUCAACUGUAGAACUGCACUUGAAACUACAGACCUAGAGUAUGGAAGGGGCAGAUGGAAUUAGUGGUGUAGGGGUAAAAUCCGUAGAUAUCACUAGGAAUACCGAAAGCGAAGGCGAUCUGCUGGGACAUUACUGACGCUGAGGCGUGAAAGCGUGGGGAGCAAACAGAAUUAGAAACCCUAGUAGUCC
rnacentral:rRNA from 1 species